UUGGCAACUACAAGCUCAUCUCUGCUAUGUAUCUGAACCUCAAGAGUUGAAUUCAAGUCUGUCAUGUUUAUCCGUGGCCUCUCCGGGACUUUAGAAACAGAAGUAUAUCAGAGAUAAGCCAAUGCCAGAAAGAUGAUUCAUCAAACACUGAGCCUGGAAAUGUGCAAAAGUGCAAAAACUCUGGGAAAUUCUACAGCCAGACAGUGACUGGAUUGUUGGAAGAAGCUGACUCGUCUCCCCUGCCUCUAGAGACAGUCCCCGGGGGAUCCCUUCUGAAGAGGUCUCCAUCCCUUCUCACAGAUGUCUCUGCAUAUUCCCUUUUCUUGUGCAGUUGUUUGUAUCACAUGGCACUGGGAAUCUGCAAAGGUCCUGUUGGCAGACGAAUGCAUCUAUAGAAGUCACAUGGUCAGCCAACAAUGAAGAGCUGGGUUAUGGUCUAUGAGAAACAACGACAACAAAUAUGAAAUCCUUGGCUAGCUACGAUGGUAUAAAAUAGAUUCUCUCUUUCAUUAUA